CUACAAAGGAAUUGACGGGGGCCCGCACAAGCAGCGGAGCGUGUGGUUUAAUUCGAUGCAACACGAAGAACCUUACCAGGACUUGACAUGCUAGAAGUAGGAACCUGAAAGGGGACGACCUGUUAAGUCAGGAGCUAGCACAGGUGCUGCAUGGCUGUCGUCAGCUCGUGCCGUGAGGCGUUGGGUUAAGUCCCGUAACGAGCGCAACCCUCGUUGCCAGUUAUUUUCUCUGGCGAGACUGCCCCGCAAAACGGGGAGGAAGGUGGGGAUGACGUCAAGUCAGCAUGGCCUUUAUGUCCUGGGCCACACACACGCUACAAUGGGUGGUACAGUAGGUUGCAAUGGAGCGAUCCGGAGCUAAUCCUAAAAGCCAUCCUCAGUUCAGAUUGCAGGCUGAAAUUCGCCUGCAUGAAGUCGGAGUUGCUAGUAACCGCGUAUCAGCAUGGCGCGGUGAAUACGUUCUCGGGCCUU
rnacentral:rRNA from 1 species